rnacentral:lncRNA from 1 species
GCACCAUAAGAACUUCUCCAAAGGUACUAAAAUACUCUUUCAGGUCCUGUUCGGUUGUUUUCCAUGGGAGACCCAACACUAUUAAAUCGGAUGUUUUCUGGACUGCUCUUUUCACUUUCACUGCUGAUGAAGCAUCUGUCUCAUCCAUUUUUCUUUUGUUAUCUUUUGGAUAGUUGACAACAUACACCAGAUUUCCCCAGCCAGCAUCUGGGGCAUGCAGAAUUCCUUCUACCAGCCGGACACCUCUCAUACACUGAGACACUGGAUUCCUGUAGCGAAGCCCACACGCCCCUGGAAACUGGGCUGUAACCGUGGAGAGCAGCACCGUCCCAUCGUCUUCCGAUGGUAUUUCAAUGGGCUCAUCGUUCUCAUCUUCGGUUACCCGAAUAUAUUCAGACAUCUUUUAC